CCUGACGACAAUAGCGUGCAGGUACCACCUGAUCCCAUACCGAACUCAGAAGUGAAACUGCACAGCGCCGAUGGUAGUGCCGGAUUCCCGGUGUGAGAGUAGGACAUUGUCAGGC
rnacentral:rRNA from 1 species